rnacentral:rRNA from 1 species
UACGUAGGGUGCAAGCGUUGUCCGGAAUUAUUGGGCGUAAAGAGCUCGUAGGCGGUCUGUCGCGUCGGCUGUGAAAACCCGAGGCUCAACCUCGGGCCUGCAGUCGAUACGGGCAAACUAGAGUACUGCAGGGGAGACUGGAAUUCCUGGUGUAGCGGUGAAAUACGCAGAUAUCAGGAGGAACACCGGUGGCGAAGGCGGGUCUCUGGGCUGACACUGACGCUGAUGCGCGAAAGCCAGGGGAGCGAACGGG